GUCGGGGUGCAAGCGUUAUCCGGGAAUCAUUGGGCGUAAAGAGCUCGUAGGCGGUUCAGCAAGUCGGCUGUGAAAUCCCGAGGGCUUAACCUCGGAACUGCAGUCGAUACUGCUGUGACUAGAGUCCGGUAGAGGAGAAUGGAAUUCCCGGUGUAGCGGUGAAAUGCGCAGAUAUCGGGAGGAACACCAGUAGCGAAGGCGGUUCUCUGGGCCGGUACUGACGCUGAGGAGCGAAAGCGUGGGUAGCAAACAGGAUUAGAUACCCUGGUAGUCCACGCCGUAAACGUUGGACACUAGGUGUGGCGUUCCGACCAACGGGUGCCGUGCCGAAGCUAACGCAUUAAGUGUCCCGCCUGGGGAGUACGGCCGCAAAGGCUAA
rnacentral:rRNA from 1 species